rnacentral:rRNA from 1 species
UACGUAGGUGGCAAGCGUUGUCCGGAUUUACUGGGCGUAAAGAGCGCGCAGGCGGUCGUUCAAGUCGCGUGUGAAAGCCCCCGGCUCAACUGGGGAGGGUCACGCGAUACUGAUCGACUCGAAGGCAGGAGAGGGUAGUGGAAUUCCCGGUGUAGUGGUGAAAUGCGUAGAUAUCGGGAGGAACACCAGUGGCGAAGGCGACUACCUGGCCUGUUCUUGACGCUGAGGCGCGAA